GAUGAACGCUGGCGGCGUGCCUAAUACAUGCAAGUCGAGCGAACAGACGAGGAGCUUGCUCCUCUGACGUUAGCGGCGGACGGGUGAGUAACACGUGGAUAACAUACCUAUAAGACUGGGAUAACUUCGGGAAACCGGAGCUAAUACCGGAUAAUAUAUUGAACCGCAUGGUUCAAUAGUGAAAGACGGUUUUGCUGUCACUUAUAGAUGGAUCCGCGCCGCAUUAGCUAGUUGGUAAGGUAACGGCUUACCAAGGCAACGAUGCGUAGCCGACCUGAGAGGGUGAUCGGCCGCACUGGAACUGGGACACGGUCCAGACUCCUACGGGAGGCAGCAGUAGGGAAUCUUCCGCAAUGGGCGAAAGCCUGACGGAGCAACGCCGCGUGAGUGAUGAAGGUCUUCGGAUCGUAAAACUCUGUUAUUAGGGAAGAACAAAUGUGUAAGUAACUAUGCACGUCUUGACGGUACCUAAUCAGAAAGCCACGGCUAACUACGUG
rnacentral:rRNA from 1 species